rnacentral:rRNA from 1 species
GAUCUGGCUCAGGAUGAACGCUAGCUACAGGCUUAACACAUGCAAGUCGAGGGGCAGCAUGAUCUAGCUGCUAAGAUUGAUGGCGACCGGCGCACGGGUGAGUAACGCGUAUCCAACCUUCCCUAUAGUAGGGGAUAGCCCGUAGAAAUGCGGAUUAAUACCCUAUGUUGUAUUUCGAUGACAUCUGACGAAUACCAAAGGUUCACCGCUAUAGGAUGGGGAUGCGUCUGAUUAGGUAGUCGGCGGGUAACGGCCCACCGAGCCAACGAUCAGUAGGGGUUCUGAGAGGAAGGUCCCCCACAUUGGAACUGAGACACGGUCCAAACUCCUACGGGAGGCAGCAGUGAGGAAUAUUGGUCAAUGGGCGAGAGCCUGAACCAGCCAAGUAGCGUGCAAGGAUGACGGCCCUAUGGGUUGUAAACUGCUUUUAUGCGGGGAUAAAGUGCGGCACGUGUGCCGUUUUGUAGGUACCGCAUGAAUAAGGACCGGCUAAUUCCGUGCCAGCAGCAGC